CAGUAGCCACGGGAAUACGUAGGUGGCAAGCGUUGUCCGGAAUUAUUGGGCGUAAAGGGCUCGCAGGCGGUUUCUUAAGUCUGAUGUGAAAGCCCCCGGCUCAACCGGGGAGGGUCAUUGGAAACUGGGAAACUUGAGUGCAGAAGAGGAGAGUGGAAUUCCACGUGUAGCGGUGAAAUGCGUAGAGAUGUGGGGGAACACCAGUGGCGAAGGCGACUCUCUGGUCUGUAACUGACGCUGAGGAGCGAAAGCGUGGGGAGCGAACAGGAUUAGAUACCCCAGUAGUCCCUGUCUCUUAUAC
rnacentral:rRNA from 1 species